ACAGCAGUAGCCGCGGUAAUACGGAGGGUGCGAGCGUUAAUCGGAAUUACUGGGCGUAAAGCGUACGCAGGCGGUUUGUUAAGUCUGUUGUGAAAUCCCCGGGCUCAACCUGGGAAUGGCAAUGGAUACUGGCAAGCUAGAGUGUGUCAGAGGAUGGUGGAAUUCCCGGUGUAGCGGUGAAAUGCGUAGAGACCGGGAGGAACAUCAGUGGCGAAGGCGGCCAUCUGGGACAACACUGACGCUGAGGCACGAAAGCGUGGGGAGCAAACAGGAUUAGAGACCCCUGUAGUCCCUGUCUCUUAUAC
rnacentral:rRNA from 1 species